CCUGGGACAAGUGCUGCUUGCCAGUCCCAGCUGUGCUUCUCUAGCAGAAAUCUCCAGGCUGCUGAGCCUGGCAGUGAGGAAAUACUGCUCUGACAACAUGGCCCCACCUCCGGGUGCCUGGCCAGGCGAGAAAAGGAAACGUCACUGCAGCUGAGGCUGUGCCUUGCACUGAUCUGUUUGUUUGGCUCUCCUGGCUCCUGGGCAGCACCUUCUGGGUUAGCUGCUGCUUCUGAUGAGUCCUAAAGAGGGAGAAAGACCUUGAGGUGAGGGCUGACUUCCUUCCAAGCUGACCUGUCUAUUCCAAGAAAUGGAAAUUUUCCAUGCUGUACAAAGCAACUGGCCCCACCUUGUUUACAGGGUCUCUUGUGUAACUCCACAUGCUGGGUUUUACAGGACACAAAUAAAAAACAGCGGCAAACCCUCUUCGUUGCCAAGACAACCCCGAAGAAAUACGAAAUCCAGAACAAUACCCUGUGAACGAGGAGCCUCGUAUUCUCUGGUGCACGCCUUCGUUGUGAAUGUCAAGGGAAACACUGCCCUGCCCUCCACAGCGACCCAGGUAAGCCCAGGUGAAGUUACAGGUGAUGUCUGUGAGAUUAUAAUGACUUACAUUUAGAGAUUGUCUUAUGUCCUGGCAGCUACCAAAGCUCAAGGGCUGGCUCCGAGAGCUGGGCACUGUAUUCCUGCAGUGCAGCGUUACCCAAGGCUGGCCAGGCAGCACCAGGAGGAUUCCUGAGGCUGUCAUGCAUGUCAGGGUUGGGGCUCUGGCUGCUCUCCCCAGCCAGUGCUGCAUGUGAAGGUGUCUGCAGCAAGCAGGGAAUGCCAGCCUGUGGUGAUCUGCCUUUGCAGAGGUUUCUAAAGAUUUCUCAGGCAGCUGAAUGCAAGGGUAUGCAGCCAUAAAGGUCUUUUUGCUCCAUAACUGGGAUAUACCGAGCUGUGCUCUGCCUCUAGGUCAAAGGAAAUAUAAAUGUGACUUAAGCCUCUUUGCUUAAGAUCUUGGCUCAAUGCAGGACAGUGGAAGAUCUGGAGCCUUGGGUUUGUUAAUGCCUAUUUAUUUAAACCCAAUUAAUAAACCUUGGACAAAAGUCCAGGAGGUCACAAUAAACAUCUGCAGGGACGCUUAUGGCACUCUCUUGUAGGCAGCAGCCUUAGGAACUUUUUUGUUUCUCAGAGGAAUGUUAUGUGCAGUUUGCAAAUUAUAACUUUGCUUUUCCAAAUCGUCUCUAAAUCAUCUUGAAGAUUCCCAUUGUAUUCCCUGUGGCAGGUAAUAAGUGAUUACUUUUUUCUGAAGAAUAAUAGGAAUAUUCUUUUUGCUAUGCUUGAAGUUGUCAUUGACCUCCUUGUUAGGAAUGGCUGUGCACUUCGGAAGUAACGUCAGCUCCCCAUUUUGUUAAAGCUCUUUGUUAAAUAUGGGAACAGCACUUGGAGCAGGGGACACUGGAUUCCACGUAGCAAUGCAUCCAUUUUGCUGUGCACUCAGUGUGAGGACAAACCCAUUUUAGCCUGCAUUGAAUCAUAGCAGCAUCUCAGAAGUAAGCAGGAGAAAUGCCGGCAUCUUUUACAUCCUUUCAUUCUUUGGCUCUCUGCUCCCUCCUUUGGUUCUGUCCUUUUGUAUCAGCUGCCUGUCAGAUAUUCCUAGCAGGAAACUUGGCAGUGUUACAGGUGUGAUGAACAUGGUGGGAAGGGAACCCUGGGGGAUUGCAGCUUCCUCUCUUCUGCUGCACUUUUUGAGCCACAUUACGUUCCUCCUUUUUCAGUUGUGUGCUGAGACACAACAACUCCAGGACUUUGGGCUCUGAAAGACGCAGCAAGCAGUGGUAGUUUGGUAUGAGAAGAGCACCAAGCCAGCAGAACAAACCAGUUGGUGCUGACAACUCUGUGUCUAUACUAUUGACAGUUGGGGGUUUUAACCUGAGUUUAGUUAGUAUGAGUUUAGUCCUGUAGGCUGAGCUCUGAAAUUGUGUGGUACUUAGUGAAGCACAGUCAGCCAGGGAUUCACUUCAGAUACACUUACCUGUUCCAGAAUAAGACACAGGUGUAGAUUAGCAGUUGUGGAGCAGAGGGUCAAACUAACCAGUGCUGAAAAACAAGUGUUGAAUAUUUGAGCAUCAUAGUGAGACAUUUUGAAGCAGAGCUGGUUCUGCUUUCAUGACUCCAUCAGCAUGUCCAGAGCUUCAGCUUCCAUGUCCAUGACAGUCUCUCCCUGGCUAUGGGAGAAACCCCAGCAGCAACAGUUCUGCACUGUGCCUUCUUUGUCUUCCUGAAGAACAAACUCUACAGUGCACUGAGAACCAUCAAACCUUCAUCCUAUUGAAAGACACAUCCUGUUGUAGCUUCGGGUGAGGCAUCCCUGAGCUCAGGCCACUCCAAUCCUCUUUUAGCACCUUAGAAACAAACUGAAAACUCCUGGCUGCUCAGGAACAUAGGAGUAUGUGAAAGAACUGCAAUUUCAUAAACUAUGGAGUGGGAGUUGGAGCUAUUAUAGAACAUCCCGUUCCAAAAGGAAACAAAUGACAGCCUGACGCUGCCGGGUAGUAGUGACGUGUGUGGCCACAGAGUGAGUC
rnacentral:lncRNA from 1 species